GCCUGGGUGGCUCAGUCGGUUAAGCAUCUGACUUCGGCUCAGGUCAUCAUCCCAGUUUGUGGGUUCGAGCCCCACAUCAGGCU
rnacentral:tRNA from 1 species